rnacentral:rRNA from 1 species
AGGAUAAACGCUGGCGGCGUGCCUAACACAUGCAAGUCGAACGUCUCUUCUUUCGGGAAGAGGAGUGGCGGACGGGUGAGGAACACGUGGGAACCUGCCCUUCAGUGAGGAAUACCGGCGAGAAAUCGCCGACAAGACCGCAUAGCCCUCUCUGGUGAGAGCCAGAGAAGGAAAGCCUCGCAAGAGGCGCUGGAGGAGGGGCCUGCGUCCGAUUAGCUAGUUGGUGGGGUAAGAGCCUACCAAGGCGUCGAUCGGUAGCUGGUCUGAGAGGACGAUCAGCCACACUGGGAUUGAGAACGGCCCAGACUCCUACGGGGGGCAGCAGUGAGGAAUUUUCGGCAAUGGGGGAAACCCUGACCGAGCAACGCCGCGUGCAGGAUGAAGUCCCUUGGGACGUAAACUCCUUUCGAUCGGGACGAUAAUGACGGUACCGAGAGAAGAAGCCCGGCUAACUUCGUGCCAGCAGCCGC